UCCCUGGUGGCUCAGAUGGUAAACCAUCUGCCUACAAUGCAGGAGACCCAGGUUCAAUCCCUGGCUCGGGAA
rfam:TPA: Bos taurus chromosome 23, whole genome shotgun sequence.